UUGACAGAAGAUAGAGAGCACAGAUGAAGAAAUGCAUGGACAUCGAAAUGGCAGGCAGCAUCUCUCUCCUUUGUGCUCUCUAUGCUUCUGUCAU
rnacentral:miRNA from 1 species